GCGUCAGUGGUGCAACGGUUCAGCACGCGCCCCCGAGUAGGGUGAAAUAUGGGUUCGAAUCCCAACUGUGGCA